GAUGAAGAACGUAGCGAAAUGCGAUAAGUAGUGUGAAUUGCAGAAUUCAGUGAAUCAUCGAAUCUUUGAACGCACAUUGCGCCCCUUGGUAUUCCAUGGGGCAUGCCUGUUCGAGCGUCAUUUGUACCUUCAAGCUUUGCUUGGUGUUGGUUGUUUGUCCUGAGGGACUCGCCUUAAAGUAAUUGGCAGCCAGUGUUUGGUUUUGAAGCGCAGCACAAGUCGCGAUUCAAAGCUAUACGCCCGCUUCCACAAGCCUUUUUCACUUUUGACCUCGGAUCAGGUAGGGAUACCCGCUGAACUUAAGCAUAUCAAUAAGCGGAGGA
rnacentral:misc_RNA from 1 species